CAGCAGCCGCGGUAAUACGGAGGGGGCUAGCGUUGUUCGGAAUUACUGGGCGUAAAGCGCACGUAGGCGGUUUUGUAAGUCAGAGGUGAAAGCCCGGAGCUCAACUCCGGAACUGCCUUUGAGACUGCAUCACUUGAACGUCGGAGAGGUGAGUGGAAUUCCGAGUGUAGAGGUGAAAUUCGUAGAUAUUCGGAAGAACACCAGUGGCGAAGGCGGCUCACUGGACGACUGUUGACGCUGAGGUGCGAAAGCGUGGGGAGCAAACAGGAUUAGAUACCCCCGUAGUCCCUGUCUCUUAUAA
rnacentral:rRNA from 1 species